CUAUUCCAAGCUUCAAAUAUAUAGCUCCACAAUAAAGCAUCAUCCUGUACAGUGAGUGAGUCUAUGGCUGCAACAGCUAGAGCUAGUAAUAGUCACCGGCAAUUAGUAUUGUAGCAAACAUAAGCACUGCUGCACGAGCUACAGCUACAAGCGGUGGUGGGCGCAGGAGGCAGUGCCGUCGUCGAAGUUCUGGUAGUAGCUAUGCAGGUCAUACCCAAACCUCACCGCGGUUCGCCUCGGCCGCGCCGCGCGUCUUCUCCAAGAGCGCCUCAACCUCGACAGCACAGCCGCUUCACCGCAGCAGCUGGCCGGCGGCCGCCGCUCCUGGCGUGGACGAGCCUCCCGCCCAAGCCGCUGCCCCCGGUGUACGGGCCUAGCAGAGACGCCGCCGCCAUGAUCGUUCACUCGGUCGGUUCACAGUUCUCACAGGUCACAGGUCACGGACGCUCUUGCCACUAACUAACUAGCUAGCUAGGCGCUCUGUCUGCUUCGAGCUGGAGUACGUACACUACAGUAAAAGAGGAAACGUUCGACGGCCACGUUAUAUCCGACGGCACCCUAGGCCACCAUCGGAUAUAAGUUUAUUUCCGACGGCCAACAGCGGCCGUCAAAAAUAACAGCAAACAGCCGACGGCUGUCAGAUUGGCCGUCGGACAUAACCUUAUCUCCCACGGCCCGUCUAACAGCCGUCGGCCUCCUGGGCACCGUCGGAAAUAAGGAGAUUUAACCGACGCCACCCGAGCGCGCAUCGUUUCAUUCUAACGUGCGCAGCCAUAUGCACCCAAGCCGCCGCCGUGACGCCGUCGCCGUGACUACGCCGCCGCCGCCAGGCACCACCGCCCAAGCACAGCCCGUGCCCGACGACCUCUCCUCCCGCCCCGACGUGCAGUCCGAGCACGACGCCACCGAAGCCACCCCGACGAAGCCCGACGCCACCGGAGCCGCCCCGAUGCCACCGGAGUCGCCCCGACGCAGCCCGCGGCCGCCGUAGCCUCUGCCCCCGUCCCCGACGCCACCGGCGCCCGCCCCGACCCCUCCGGAGCUCGCUUCACCGGUUCAUCGUCCGACAAAGUGAGCAAUUUUAAAAAUUUUAGUAUAAUUUUGUGUAUAAAUAUACAUUGUUUGCUAGUAGCAAUGUUUAGUUUUGUUAUGUCCGACGGCUUAAUUUAAUUAUGCAAUUAAAUUAGCUUGUUUUAAUUUAUUUAUUAGUGGCUAUAUAAUUUAAACUUUUAAUUUCCGAGGGUAAUUAUUAAGCCCUCAGAAAUAAGGUUGUUUUAUUUGAUUUAGGGUCCCGUGAAAUGAUUUUUUAUAGUGCUAUUGUAUUAGUUUGGUUAAUUAGUGGCUAUUGUAUUAGUGUGGUUAAUUAGUAAUCAUAACUAAUUAAGUUAACGAAACCUAGGCGUCGCCCGUUUCGGCCCAACACACCUUACAUGCGACGCAUGUGAGGUAUGUUGGGCCGGAAUUGUCCCUUUAUUGGACAGCCUCGGGGUGACCGACAGAGUCCGUGUUUAUGACAAAGGCAUGUGCUCCUGCUUAGUUUCGGCAGCAUAACCCCUCUGUUCUCCAAUUGCACCAUUUUUAGGCGUGCGAUUGGAGAACAGCGGGGUUAUGCUGCCGAAAUUUCGCACGACCACAUGUCUUGUCAUAAACACGGGCUCGUCGGUCACGCCUGGGUGGGUUUAGGACCUAUCCUUUCCUACAGAUGUAGGGGCGUGAUUUCUUCGUAAAAACGGAUGGUCCGUGCAUUACUUAUCUAAUUAAGUUAACGUCUCGUAUCUAGUAUGGAGGAGAAUCGUCGAUGGAUGUAUGAAGGUUGGAAGAAAAGAGGUGCUCUAUCAAGUGAGUGGGUUGCCAAGACUGAUGCUUUUCUCGACCAUGCUUUUGCUCGGUCAGAGACUGGAACCGAUGUUAGGUGCCCUUGUAGCAAGUGUCGUAACAUUAAUUUCCUUGACAGGAGGACUAUGUCGAUACAUAUUUGCAAGAACGGUUAUAUGUCAGGCUAUGAGGUGUGGGUGCACCACGGUGAGGAUCCACCUCCUCGUAUUGUAUCGGAAGUUCAGUCACAUGAAGAGGAGGACUACGAUAGGAUGGAAGAGAUGUUUGACGAUGUACGCCAUGAGCUUCUAACCGUCGAUUCGGAGAACCCCGGUCAACCCACCGAGUUUGAGGAUCCAGCUACACCUGAGGUUCAGAAGUUCUUCGAGCUCCUUAAAGCUGCCGAAGAGCCGUUGUAUGAGCACACAAAAGUGACCGUGUGCUGCAGCUGUAGCUUCUGAAGAUACUGUGCAAAACGAAGCCUCCCAUGCCAUAGCUUUAUAAGCCCGGAUGCUGGGAGCAUUCCCGACACGCGUCGACCGAAGACGCCACCCGGACCCACCAGCACGCACUAUCACGUACAUGGUGACGAGGCAAUCCACUACGGCGAUCAUUCGAAAGGUCCAAGCAGCUUCAUUUCAUGCAUGCUUUUGUAAGCCGCCGUCGUGCUCGUGCAGUCGAAAGAAUCAAAGAAAGACAACCGUCGACCACCAACAAUGGAAGCAUGUGCACUUGCUUUAGUGACGACUAGCUAGAGGGAUGAGAGAGGUCGGCCAUGGCAACCGGCGACACGGCGGCACCUGAGCUGCUUCCUGCCCAUCCUGUGCCGAUAAGGUCGGCGGCUUCCUGCCCGUCCUGCCGCUGGAUCAUGCCACGUGCACAAUGUGUUUCAGUUGCCUGUGGCGCAGUCGACCUAAUCGACAUGCAUGCGGCCGAGGUUGGCGGGAACUCUCGGCACCCCGUCAGAUCGAGACUAGGAACCUACGACGUGUUUGGUUCGAUGUAAUGUAACGGUAUGGGAUUCCUUCGGGUAUCUGAUGUCGUUACAUGUGUUUGUUAUGAGUUCUAUUGGAAUCAGAUACAUUGGAAUCAGAUACCGCUGUAUAGAAAACUCAAACCCUCCAACCCUAGCCGGAAUCAACGCCUCGAUUCACUCGCUCAGGGCCGCUCGAGCGUUCCUCCUCCUCCUCGGACGCCAGUGCCGCCGCCACCCAGGCGUCCAUCCUCCUCGGACGCUAGCAGCCGGCGCCAAGUCUUCGCUGCCGUCCAGGUAACAAAUCUCCUAGAGUCCGUUCUCUCUGAAUCUCGAAUUUGCCCAGAGUCCAUCUCUCUGAAUCUCCUAGAGUCCAUCUCUCCGAAUCUCCGAAUCUCUGGUUUUGGUUCGUCGGAGUUCUAGAUCCAGUGUAAUGGCAUCCGCUGCUGCACGCUAAGUCUGACACCGGCACGGGACGACACUGGGCGUGCUCGCAUCCGGCGGUCCUGAACCCCCAGAAUCCCACCACGAAGGAGGCUUUAUCUGUAGUGAUGCUGGUCCUCGCAUCCGGUUUCCUAUAGUGCUGCUGGUCUCCAGUGCUUACUAGAGUAGCUUGCAUCGGUUGCGUCUCUGGUUGAAUAGUUUGCUGACGGGCACCGGUAUUCAGCGAUGGAGGAUCCAUUUUUCAUCUGUGCACACAAAUGUCAAAUGAUUAAACAUGCAUUUACUGUAUGACGAAAGCAGUUGUAUGUCAAAUGAUUAAACAUGCAUUUACAGUACAAGAACGGUAGAAGAGCUGGACCUGUGAAUUAUUGAGUAACGUUCGACCUUGAUUAAGUAUACCACGCACAAUGAUAUCCAGUUGACUGUAUCUCCGAAUCCAGUUGACUGUAUGAUCCAUACAUCAGUUAUUUGAUUCAUUUUAUCUCUAUGCUCUGUUUAAUUUAUUUGAUGUGCACAAUGAUAUCCAGAUUUAUAUGAAACUCAUUUGUUGAUCUCUAGAUUUAUCCUCAAGAACUCGAUGAAGAAAUAUGGCAUUUAGGGGUAUCUUGAGUUCUCUCGUUGUCACGUACUAUUAUGUCUGGCUGCUCAUGGGAUUAGCAUAUAGAAGAAAAUGUUUGAGAAUAGAAAGAAGGUUAAGAAAUAGGGAGCGUAGGAUGGAGAAUUUAAAUGAACUCAUUCAUGAGACUGAUAGAAAAUGUAUUAGUGAGCUUCUUAUGGAUAGAAGAACUUUCUUUAUUUUGUGUGAGAUGCUUAGAGAUGUUGGUGGGCUAAAGGCCACACGCAAUAUGACCAUAGAGGAGAUAGUGGCUCAUUUUUUGUAAACAUUGGCUCAUCAUUUGAAGAACCGAACAAUUGGAAGGUUUUUCUUUCGAAGCGGCGAGACAGUUAGUAGACAGUUCAACUUAUGCCUUCUAGCUGUUCUAAAGUUGCAACAUUUGCUUCUUAAGACCCCUGAGCCAAUUCCAGAGAAUAGCACUGAUAAUACCUGGAAAACCUUUAAGGUAAAUACAUAAGACCUAUAAGGUUCUUUAGUUUUUCUUCAACUUUAAAUAGACACAUUGAAGUGAUAUUUCUUUUAUGAAAUGUCUGUAGAAUUGUUUGGGUGCAUUAGACGGAACCGCUAUCAAGGUAACUGUGCCAACACAUCUAAAAGGAAGAUAUAGGUCAAGGAAAGCGGACAUUGUGACAAAUGUAUUGGGUGUUUGUGCACCCGAUAUGCAAUUCAUCUAUAUGCUACCUGGUUGGGAGGGUUCAGCGCAUGAUGGUCGUGUGCUGCGUGAUGCUAUCUCGAGGCCAAAUGGAUUGCGUGUCCCUCAAGGCGAGUUUUAUUUCAAUAACUUCCAUUUGGUUUGGUGGUAUAGUGUUUUAAGUGUGUAUAUUAACUUGAAAAUAUCCUUUUUAGGUUGUUAUUAUCUUGUUGAUGCGGGUUAUACAAACGCCAAUGGAUUUCUAGCACCUUAUCGAGGUCAACGAUACCAUUUGGGUGGUUGGACAGCACAGAAUCCACCACAUAGUGCUGAGGAGUAUUUCAAUAUGUGUCAUGCUCGAGCAAGAAAUAUUAUAGAGAGGGCUUUUGGAAGGCUUAAAGGGCGAUGGGUGAUUCUUAGAUCCCCUUCAUAUUUUCCUACAAAGACGCAAUGUCGUAUAAUAAUGGCAUGUGCCCUUUUGCACAAUCUAAUUUUGCAAAAAAAUGUCUAGAGACCCUAUGGAAAGUGAGGAACAAUCGGUGGUAGAUUCUGAAAUGCCUAAGGGAGAAGUUGGUGAACCAGAAUUUAUUAUGGCUAUCUCCACAACAAAUGCGUGGAGUACUUUUCGUGACACUCUUGCGUAGGGGAUGUAUAAUGCUUAUAGGGCUUCUCAUUGAUUAUUUCAUGGUACUUUUGAUGCUUAAGUACUUUUCAUGGCUCGAUUACUAUUUUUUACUAUAUAUGUGUUUAUGACUUGUCAUCAUUUGUAUGCAGAAUGGACAUUUUGGAGGGCUCUAUUGCUGUUCGUGGUAGGGGGAAAAACAAAAGGAAGUGGAUUCCUGUUGAAGAUGAUGAACUGAUCAAAGCAUUGGUUGAUGUUUCUUUGGAUCCGAGGUGGAGGAGUGAUGGGAGUUUCAAGAAUGGCUACACUUCAGUACUUGAAGCUCGCCUCGCUGAAAAGCUACCUGAUUCAAAAAUUUCUGCAACUCCUCAUAUCGAGUCAAGGUUAAGAUACUUCAAGACAAAGUAUUCUGCUUUGGAGCAGAUGUUGAACAAGAGUGGGUUCACAUGGGAUCCGACCAAGAAGAUGAUUCAUUGCGAGAAACAACAAUAUGAGACACAUUGCAAGGUACUUUCAUGAAUAGUUUAACAAGAUGAUUCAUGAAUAGCACUUGACAGUACUGUUGUUACGUUUUAAUGAAUAGCAUGAAUGAUGCCACAGUUUUCAUUAUGGAUACUUAUACCUCUCUCAAGCACUUCAUCUGUGAGCUGAUACAGUUACAUUAUUACGGAUUCUUUUCAUGUGCAAUAUUAAUAAUUACUUUGCACUAUUUUUUGGUGAAUGAUGAGUGUGUUGUUGUUCAGAUAGAAAAUGGUGUCACAUUAGCUAUAUAGUAUGUGAGUGAAUCGCUCUGCAGGCGAGCGAGUACUGUGUAGGUGCUCUGUAGCCGUAUGGAUACAGGCUUUUGCUUGCAGCCUUGAACCUUGGCCAGUAAAGAAUGAUCACAAGGGCUGCACUUUUCUCCGCGAGAAAGAAACGUUGCUUCCCCUGGUUCGCACUGAAGCACCUCCACCUUUGUUUCCUCCUCCCAUGCAUUGAUGUGUACAAUUUGGGUGUCAUCGAUCUGUUUACUCUUGUUCAACAUCUGCUCCAAAGCAGAAUACUUUGUCUUGAAGUAUCUUAACCUUGACUCGAUAUGAGGAGUUGCAGAAAUUUUUGAAUCAGGUAGCUUUUCAGCGAGGCGAGCUUCAAGUACUAAAGUGUAGCCAUUCUUGAAACUCCCAUCACUCCUCCACCUCGGAUCCAAAGAAACAUCAACCAAUGCUUUGAUCAGUUCAUCAUCUUCAACAGGAAUCCACUUCCUUUUGUUUUCCCCCUACCACGAACAGCAAUAGAGCCCUCCAAAAUGUCCAUUCUGCAUACAAAUGAUGACAAGUCAUAAACACAUAUAUAGUAAAAAUAGUAAUCGAGCCAUGAAAAGUACUUAAGCAUCAAAAGUACCAUGAAAUAAUCAAUGAGAAGCCCUAUAAGCAUUAUACAUCCCCUGCGCAAGAGUGUCACGAAAAGUACUCCACGCAUUUGUUGUGGAGAUACCCAUAAUAAAUUCUGGUUCACCAACUUCUCCCUUAGGCAUUUCAGAAUCUACCACCGAUUGUUCCUCACUUUCCAUAGGGUCUCUAGACAUUUUUUUGCAAAAUUAGAUUGUGCAAAAGGGCACAUGCCAUUAUUAUACGACAUUGCGUCUUUGUAGGAAAAUAUGAAGGGGAUCUAAGAAUCACCCAUCGCCCUUUAAGCCUUCCAAAAGCCCUCUCUAUAAUAUUUCUUGCUCGAGCAUGACACAUAUUGAAAUACUCCUCAGCACUAUGUGGUGGAUUCUGCGCUGUCCAACCACCCAAAUGGUAUCGUUGACCUCGAUAAGGUGCUAGAAAUCCAUUGGUGUUUGUAUAACCCGCAUCAACAAGAUAAUAACAACCUAAAAAGGAUAUUUUCAAGUUAAUAUACACACUUAAAACACUAUACCACCAAACCAAAUGGAAGUUAUUGAAAUAAAACUCGCCUUGAGGGACACGCAAUCCAUUUGGCCUCGAGAUAGCAUCACGCAGCACACGACCAUCAUGCGCUGAACCCACCCAACCAGGUAGCAUAUAGAUGAAUUGCAUAUCGGGUGCACAAACACCCAAUACAUUUGUCACAAUGUCCGCUUUCCUUGACCUAUAUCUUCCUUUUAGAUGUGUUGGCACAGUUACCUUGAUAGCGGUUCCGUCUAAUGCACCCAAACAAUUCUACAGACAUUUCAUAAAAGAAAUAUCACUUCAAUGUGUCUAUUUAAAGUUGAAGAAAAACUAAAGAACCUUAUAGGUCUUAUGUAUUUACCUUAAAGUUUUUCCAGGUAUUAUCAGUGCUAUUCUCUGGAAUUGGCUCAGGGGUCUUAAGAAGCAAAUGUUGCAACUUUAGAACAGCUAGAAGGCAUAAGUUGAACUGUCUACUAACUGUCUCGCCGCUUCGAAAGAAAAACCUUCCAAUUGUUCGGUUCUUCAAAUGAUGAGCCAAUGUUUACAAAAAAUGAGCCACUAUCUCCUCUAUGGUCAUAUUGCGUGUGGCCUUUAGCCCACCAACAUCUCUAAGCAUCUCACACAAAAUAAAGAAAGUUCUUCUAUCCAUACGAAGCUCACUAAUACAUUUUCUAUCAGUCUCAUGAAUGAGUUCAUUUAAAUUCUCCAUCCUACGCUCCCUAUUUCUUAACCUUCUUUCUAUUCUCAAACAUUUUCUUCUAUAUGCUAAUCCCAUGAGCAGCCAGACAUAAUAGUACGUGACAACGAGAGAACUCAAGAUACCCCUAAAUGCCAUAUUUCUUUAUCGAGUUCUUGAGGAUAAAUCUAGAGAUCAACAAAUGAGUUUCAUAUAAAUCUGGAUAUCAUUGUGCACAUCAAAUAAAUUAAACAGAGCAUAGAGAUAAAAUGAAUCAAAUAACUGAUGUAUGGAUCAUACAGUCAACUAGAUUCGGAGAUACAGUCAACUGGAUAUCAUUGUGUGUGGUAUACUUAAUCAAGGUCGAACGUUACUCAAUAAUUCACAGGUCCAGCUCUUCUACCGUUCUUGUACUGUAAAUGCAUGUUUAAUCAUUUGACAUACAGCUGCUUUCGUCAUACAGUAAAUGCAUGUUUAAUCAUUUGACAUUUGUGUGCACAGAUGGAAAAUGGAUCCUCCAUCGCUGAAUACCGGUGCCCGUCAGCAAACUAUUCAACCAGAGACGCAACCGAUGCAAGCUACUCUAGUAAGCACUGGAGACCAGCAGCACUAUAGGACACCGGAUGCGAGGACCAGCAUCAGUACAGAUAAAGCCUCCUUCGUGGUGGGAUUCUGGGGGUUCAGGACCGCCGGAUGCGAGCACGCCCAGUGUCGUCCCGUGCCGGCGUCCCCCGCCGGCGUCAGACUUAGCGUGCAGCAGCGGAUGCCAUUACACUGGAUCUAGAACUCCGACGAACCAAAACCAGAGAUUCGGAGAUUCGGAGAGAUGGACUCUAGGAGAUUCAGAGAGAUGGACUCUGGGCAAAUUCGAGAUUCAGAGAGAACGGACUCUAGGAGAUUUGUUACCUGGACGGCAGCGAAGACUUGGCACCGGCUGCUGGCGUCCGAGGAGGAUGGAGGCCUGGGUGGCGGUGGCACUGACGUCCGAGGAGGCGUCCGAGGAGGAGGAGGAACGCUCGAGCGGCCCUGAGCGAGUGAAUCGAGGCGUUGAUUACGGCUUGGGUUGGAGGGUUUGAGUUUUCUAUACAGCGGUAUCUGAUUCCAAUGUAUCUGAUUCCAAUAGAACUCAUAACAAACACAUGUAACGAUAUCAGAUACCCGAAGGAAUCCCAUACCGUUACAUUACAUCGAACCAAACACGUCGCAAGUCAUCAUGGUACCCGGAUGAGUCAUGAGUCACUUGUGGGGUGUUUGGUUUGAGGAAUGAACUAGUCCAUCGUCUUCUCACUCCUCACUAUUUUUGUUUGGUUUGUAGAAUAAAAUAAGUUGAUACAUCAUCAUCUCAUUCCUCAUAGUUAGUUAGUUAGUACUAAUAUGAGAAAUGGAGUCAUCCCACCAAAUCUGAGGAAUGAACCCAUGAUACACCACCUUAAUUUGGAUGGUAUGAUUCCUCAAACCAAACACUCUAUUGAAGUUUCGCCUUGACCCGAUGCCAGUUUGCCUUUACUUUUUGUCUUGAUAUCAGUAGCUCCAUUUAAGUUUCAAGCGUCUAAAAAAACUCUCUUCGGCGACUACAACUUUUCAGUUAAUGACUUCUUUAUUCAAGAUCAUCUAUAAUAUUAAAUAUACAAUAUAAUAUUUAAAAAUUUUGUAGUUGAAAAAAUAGUAUCAAUUGUAUAGUGACAACUAUUAUAUAACUUAACCGGUAUAGAAGCUCGAUGGAACCUUAAGAUAUUGAGUUCAAAUCCAGUAAUCUAGCAGUGUUAUAAUUGAUAGUGAUAAUUUUUUUGAUAAAAAAAUAACUCUUUAAAUGAUGAUUUAGAGAAUAUCUUUAACAUAGACUCUAGAAAAUUUCAUAAAGCUGCCGAUCAAAUAGUCCUGGCUAACUAUAUGAAGCUUUUUGAGAAAUUAUGUAGGGUUAUAAGGUCACACACAAUAAACUUCUAUUUUCUAGUACUUGCAUACUUAAUUAGUUUGUUCUAUAUAAAAUUAUCCUAAAUUUUACCAAAUUUAUAUACACAAUUAUUUGCAUUACAGAAAUAUAUUUCACAAUUCCAUUCAAUAUACUUAUUUUCUAUAAACUUGGUGAAUCUUAUAAUAGUUUAACUUAGAGCAACUUUAAAUGCAUUACGUAAUACUUAUUGGAAUUUGGCCUGUUUAGCGCACUUGUGGGUGGUCCAAACCAUAUAAGAAAUCCAAGGUGGUGUGAGGAAUAACAUCAUGGACUUUAGUCCUACAUUGCUUAUCCAGGUAAGAGAUAACCAAUUUAAAUAUGAGGUUGUGCACUACUCUUCAUAUGUGACACACAAAGGGCUAUAGAGACUGCUAUGAACUGACACACGCGCUCACUCACUUGCAUUUUAGGUUUUUUCGCGAAAUUAACGCGUGGCUUGUGACUUGCAAUGAUGAAUGAUCGCGUCGUGACGUGUUCUAAAUAGCAGUUUAUUUUUUGUCUUUUAUUUAUUUGGUUAUCAAGUACCACACCUAGACUGCCAUGUCAACCGGGAGUAAUUAGGCGCGCACUACGUGAACUCUGUGUGGUUGUACUUAGACAAAUUUGAGAGGGCGAUUACUGUAAUUUAGUAGAUCGAAUCUGGAACAAUUGCGGUGACUCUUCUAUAAAGGGGAGAUGUCCUUUAGACGGAAGGCAUACAUCAAUCAACAUACUUGUCUUCUCAUUCUCAACUCUAUGUGUUACCGUUUCUCUACUCUGUCGUCCCUGCAUUUGCCAUGCAGCAAAUCAAGGAAGACCAGUGUAUUCGAACCAACACCGAUAUUUUGACGACCUGCACGGGCGCUGAGAAAUUAGGUUUCUGGGAAGUGCACCUCGCACGUAUGUUCAUGUUCUUCAAAUCCAGUUGUGGGAAGCAUUGUAAGUAGAUAUGCAAUUUCUGUUUAUCUUGACACGAAUCUUUUGCAUAGAUCUAUUGUUCGUUUGUCUUCUGUUCAUUAAUUGUUAUGGUUUGGUGAAUCUGAUGCUUUUCAAGAGUACAUUACUAAAGCACAUAAUCCUAAAUUUGUGAAGUCUUCUAGGCAAACCACAACUUGAGAUCUAAUUAAGCUUUACAAUGAACGUGUGCUUAAGCUUAUUGAGUCAUUUCAAUCUGUUUCAUCCGUUGCUCUAACUUCUGAUAUCUGGAAUGUUAAAGCUAAAGAAGACUACAUUUCUGUUGUUGCUCACUUUUUGAAUUCCAAUUGGGAGCUAGAAAAAAGGUUGAUUGGUCUUAGGCUCAUAUAUGUGAAACAUUCUGGUAAUAAUUUAGCAGAACAUGUUAAUAUGGUUGCUGAUGAGUGUGGUUUAAGUGAUAAAAUAUUUGCUAUUACUCUAGAAUCUACUUUUAGUUUGGUUGGCAGGGUGAUUGAGGAACGUCGGCGGCGGCUCAUACCAGACAUGGUGGAGGUUCUAUCAUGUAUCAAAGACCGGGAGUUAGCAGAUUUACACAAGCAACACAAUCUUGAGAAUGACACAUAGAAAUAGAAUUUAUCCUUGAAAGCUUGAACAAUGAUGGAGGAGGAGACCAAGAAAGCCAAUCAAGGGCUCAAGAGUUAAGGGUGAACGAGUGAAUUAUUGUAACUUGUAAUCUUGUCCUCUGUCUCUAUCUCUGGUGAAUUGUUGUAUUGAACUAUGAACAUGGUUGCAUACGUUAUAACUUUGAGCUGGCUGUACCUUUUUCCCUUCUUAGGAUUUUCUCACAAGGUAUGAGUUUUUAUCUAGGAAGGUUUCUAAUAAGGCGGCAUUGCAUAAACAACUCUGAGAGUUUUUAUUCUUGUGUGGUCUUUUGUGUUUUUUGUGAAUUCUGUUAUAUACCAGUAUAUAUGUGAUUUUCGGGCCUGUCCAAACCCACCCCUGUACUAAUGAGCUAUCCAAGCCAACGGUACGGCACGACCUAUCUGAGUACCAACCGGACCGUGCUUAGGCCGAAGGGUCAGCACGCUAUGUAAGCCCGGCACGACCCAGAGGUUACCAGUGCCAUGCCUGGCACGCCUCGAAUGGGCCGGGCUGGAGCGGACCGUUUGGAUAUCUAUAAGUCCAAGCAGCUCCAUACAUGUUUACAGGUGCAGCAGUCCGAAUAGCUACAAUAUUGUUGGCUGCCAGCCAGUCGAACAAUAUAGAAAUAUGAUUUAUAAUGACGGUUUUUUAAAAAACCACCAAUAGAAAUAACAUUAAUGUAUGAUAACUAAAACCGUACGUACAAAUUAAACUCCACCAUAGGCUUUCAGUUAUUUUUCUACAAGUGAGGGUUCCGGUACAAUGAGUCAAUGAGCUACAAGCGGUGGUGGGCGCGGGAGGCAGUGCCGUCGUCGAAGUUCUGGUAGUAGCUAUGCAGGUCAUACCCGAACCUCACCGCGGUUCGCCUCGGCCGCGCCGUGCGUCUUCUCCAAGAGCGCCUCAACCUCGACAGCAGCCGCUUCACCGCCGC
rnacentral:lncRNA from 1 species